rnacentral:rRNA from 1 species
UAAUACCGGAUAGAUCACAACGCCUGGAACGGUGUGUGGUUGAAAGAUUACGGCAUAGGAUGGGUCUGCGGCGUAUCAGGUCGUAGGGGGUGUAAUGGACCCCCUAGCCAUCGACGCGUACGGGUGUUGGGAGACAUAGCCCGGAGACGGAUUCUGAGACACGAAUCCGGACCCUACGGGGUGCAGCAGGCGCGAAAACUUCACACUGCAGGAAACUGUGAUGAGGGAACUCCAAGUGGAUGCACAUAGUGUAUCUCUUUUCUUUACUAUUAAUCGGUAUUGGAAUAAGGGCUGGGAAAGACCGGUGCCAGCCGCCGCGGUAAUACCGGCAGCUCGAGUGGUCGUCGCUUUUAUUGGGCCUAAAACGUCCGUAGCCGGUUUGGUAAAUCUGUGGGUAAAUCAACUAGCUUAACUAGUUGAAUUCUGCAGAGACUGCCAGACUAGGAACCGGGAGAGGUGUGGGGUACUCAAGGGGUAGGGGUAAAAUCCUGUCAUCCUUUGAGGACCACCAGUUGCGAAGGCGCCACACUAGAACGGAUUCGACGGUCAGGGACGAAGCCUAGGGGCACGAACCGGAUUAGAUACCCGGGUAGUCCUAGGUGUAAACGCUGUGAACUUGGUGUCGGGAGUCCGCAAUGGGCCCCCGGUGCCGGAGUGAAGAUGUUAAGUUCACUGCCUGGGGAGUACGGUCGCAAGGCUGAAACUUAAAGGAAUUGGCGGGGGAGCACUGCAACGCGAGGAGCGUGCGGUUUAAUUGGAUUCAACGCCGGAAAACUCACCAUGGCCGACUGUUAGAUGAAGACCAGCGUAAUGAGCUUGUCGGAUUUUCAGAGAGGUGGUGCAUGGCCGUCGUCAGUUCGUACUGUAAAGCGUUCUGUUAAGUCAGAUAACGAACGAGACC